AAAUCUGUUCGUCUGCACGUUCAUUUCCCAGACCUGCGCAGCAACCAGACACUGGGGUUGAUUAUAAGAUUGAAUCUAAUACACACACACACUGGAACACAUUUCAGUGUUAUUCAGACUUUUAUCAGUGACAGUUGCAAAAACUUCAUCCGUCAUCAUUUGGGGGUACAUCAGUGCCCAUGGCAUGUGUGACUUACAGACGUCUGAAGGUGAGCCAUAUAUAUUGUACAUAGACAUUUGAUGCCAUCAAAAUGACAUGUUUUCCCAGGAAUCCCAAGGUUAUAAGAGCCAGACAAAGCCAGGUGUCCUUCUGCAUGUGCUUCAACACUGGGGUUUCAUAGACACAAAGUGAAUGUGCAGACCAGAUCUGUCUCCUACUCCAAAUGUAUGGUCCAUCAUGAAGAGAAGAAUAAGACCAUGAUGAUGACCACAGACUGUUGAGCAGCUGAAGUCUUUUAUCAAGAAAUCAGAGUUUGGCAGCGAAAUCAGGCCAUGGAGGAUAAAAAUAACUCCAGUGAUCUCAUCAUCUCUACCACAUCAACUGAUAUGCUUUACUAUGACAAUGAAACACCUUCUCAUCCACCCUAUUAUUUUCAUGCAGUCAGACUGUCCAUCUUCUUGAUCACUGCUGUUUGUCUGGGACUGCCAUGUCUGAUUUGGGCUUUUUAUUUUGUGCACCUUCAGAGAAAGACCAGAGGCCGGAUCUCAGCCUUCGUCAUCCUCCUCCUCCUCAGUGACCUGUUGCAACUGCUCCUGUAUCCAUUCAUAGUGUCAGCACUUCUUUCUUUCCAUGGCUUUAACAUGAUUUUUAUAAUGGCUGUAACAUUUUGUCUGAAAAUCUGUAGCGUUCACCUGCAGCAGCUGGUGGCUCUGGAGGGGGUCCUGACCCUCAAAUAUCCACAGAUCUCUGCUCGUAUCUUCUCAUCCCCGUUACAUCAUAAUCUCCAUCAUUAUACUUCUUUUCUCUUUGAUGUGUGUAUUGUUACUGGGUUUUGGUGGCCCUAAUGGUGGGAGCCUGGGUUUUGGCUCAGUUCUGGCACCUGUGUUUUUAUUGGUUGUCACAGGGAUGAUCACCUACAAGGCUCCGCCCACUCCUGCCAGCACACCUGCCACUGACAACAGACCAGGCUCGUCGUUGAUUCAUGUUACCAUUUUUACUGUAGGUGUGCUUUAUUUACCUUGUGUGCUGGUCCACUGUGUGAAGAUGCUCCAUGUUUUCCAGCCAGUGUCUUGGUCCGUGAUGUCUCUCUGUUUGUUGAGUCUGACAGUGAUUUCAGAGCCUCUCCUGUGUGUGCUGGUCUGCAGAGAGACUCUCAGCACUCAGACAAAACACACUCACACAGAGUUCAGCUCUCAGCAGACAGCAGUCUGAACUCAUUGUCAUCAGUUGCUUUGACUUUGACUGCAAAAUAUGCUUAUUAAUAUUAAUAAAUGCAGAGAGCCGGUUGCUAAAAAUGGAGACAAGUGGAGAGUAAAUGGAAAAAAAGACAGACUCCAAAGUCUGUGCACUUUUGCAAAAAAAGAAAAAAUAAAGAAUGGUUGUUAUACUCCAAACUUACAUCUCUGUUUGAUUGCCUGGAUGAAAUAAAAGACUGGAUGUCAUCGCGUUUCCUGCAGCGUAAUGAGUCAAAUCUGAAGAGGUGAUCUUUGGUCUGUCGGCGUUAACCCAACAGAUUUCAUCUUGGGCCAUUAGCUCCCAAUCUUAAGAUUCAGGUGAGGAACCUAGAUGUGAUUUCUGACUGAUUAACACAUUAAAGCCGUGGUAAAAGUUAGCUUUUUCAAUUGAGGGGCAUUGCCAAACUGAAAAGUUUCUUGUCUUUUAAAGAUAGUGAACCGUGAUUCAUGUGUUUAUUUGAUCCAGACUGGAUUACUGUUACUCUUUAUUUCUGGGAUGUCUUGAUACAGCUGAUGCAAACUGCAGUGGCCAAAGAACAUGCUCCAGUAUCUCUCCAGCACUGGCUUCCUGUUGAUUUUAGAGAUCAAUAAAAGGUUUUAUUAAAGGUUUUUAAAGGUCUAUCUCCAGUCUGUUACAGCAUCAUAAUCCUGCUACUCAUUUAAGAUCAUCUCAGAGUUUCCUCUUAAAUGCCAUGCCUACGCACUACUUAAAAUCAAUGCUGAAGACGCACCUCUACUCUGCUGAAAACAAUCAUCCUUAAGUGCACGGACAAUGAAGAAUGAUAUAUGUAUAUGUGUUUUGUAAUUUUGGGAGAGUCAAGUCAAGUCACCUUUAUUUAUAAAGCGCUUUAGACAACACAGAUUGUGUCACAUUGGCUUUACAGUGUUAAACAGGAAAAACGUGUGCUGAUAAUGCAAGGGUGCAAUAGAAAAGUUUAUG